GACGGAGGUCUCAAGCGUUGUUCGGAUUCAUUGGGCGUAAAGGGUGCGUAGGCGGCGCGGUAAGUCGGAUGUGAAAUCUCGGAGCUUAACUUCGAAACUGCAUUCGAUACUGCCGUGCUUGAGGACUGGAGAGGAGACUGGAAUUUACGGUGUAGCGGUGAAAUGCGUAGAUAUCGUAAGGAAGACCAGUGGCGAAGGCGGGUCUCUGGACAGUUCCUGACGCUGAGGCACGAAGGUCAGGGGAGCAAACGGG
rnacentral:rRNA from 1 species